UACGGAGGGAGCAAGCGUUAUACGGAAUCACUGGGUUUAAAGGGUGCGUAGGCGGCUUGAUAAGUCAGGGGUGAAAGCCCGCAGCUUAACUGCGGAACUGCCUUUGAUACUGUCGAGCUUGAAAGAGGUUGAGGUCAGCGGAACGUGACAUGUAGCGGUGAAAUGCAUAGAUAUGUCACAGAACACCGAUUGCGAAGGCAGCUGGCUGGACCUACUUUGACGAUGAGGCACGAAAGCGUGGGGAGCGAACAGG
rnacentral:rRNA from 1 species